rnacentral:rRNA from 1 species
AUCAGAAAUCUGGGUUCUUGAGUUAUCUCGAGGUUUGAGAAUAAGAGUCCAGCUUUCUGAUUUUUACAUCAGAUGUUCUUUAACAAGGUAAAACAAUUUGUAGUAAUACACUGCAAGGCGAGGUUAAGUACUAACAAUACUUAACAUCAAUAUUGUGUGUCUCUCAAGCACACAAUCCGGUGUUUGAACACUACCCGUGUUCGAACAGUAACUCGCACAGUCAGUGUGCUUUAGGCAAGGCGCGCGAUGAGUGAGGGAAGGAGCUUACAUUAGUAAGUGACUGACUGAACGAAGAGCAGCAACGCAGCAUAAAGUGCAGUGACGAAGCGAGAAGUCGUUAGUAGUCGUUUGUGUUGUAUGGUCAAGCGACUAAGCGUAUACGGUGGAUGCCUUGGCAGCUGGAGGCGAUGAAGGACGUAGGAGCCUGCGAAAAGUCUAGGGGAGCUGGCACACAAGCUUUGAUCCUGGAAUGUCCGAAUGGGGAAACCCACCUCUUAGGAGGUAUCGCAUACUGAAUACAUAGGUAUGCGAGGCGAACCCGGGGAACUGAAACAUCUAAGUACCCGGAGGAAAAGAAAUCAACCGAGAUUCCCUGAGUAGCGGCGAGCGAAAGGGGAUUAGCCCUUAAGCUCUUUAUGUUUUAGUGGAAGGUUCUGGAAAGUACCGCGAUACAGGGUGAUAGCCCCGUACACGAAAAGGCAUUUAGAGUGAAAUCGAGUAGGUCGGGACACGUGUUAUCUUGACUGAAUAUGGGGGGACCAUCCUCCAAGGCUAAAUACUCCCAGCUGACCGAUAGUGAACCAGUACCGUGAGGGAAAGGCGAAAAGAACCCCGGAGAGGGGAGUGAAAUAGAACCUGAAACCGUAUACGUACAAGCAGUAGGAGCCCUUCGGGGUGACUGCGUACCUUUUGUAUAAUGGGUCAGCGACUUAUUGUCUGUAGCAAGGUUAACCGCAUAGGGGAGCCGUAGAGAAAUCGAGUCUUAAUAGGGCGUUUAGUUGCAGGCAAUAGACCCGAAACCCGGCGAUCUAUCCAUGGGCAGGUUGAAGGUUGAGUAACAUCAACUGGAGGACCGAACCCACUAAUGUUGAAAAAUUAGGGGAUGACCUGUGGAUCGGAGUGAAAGGCUAAUCAAGCCGGGAGAUAGCUGGUUCUCCUCGAAAGCUAUUUAGGUAGCGCCUCGCGUCUCACCCUCGGGGGUAGAGCACUGUUUGGGCUAGGGGGUCAUCCCGACUUACCAACCCCAUGCAAACUCCGAAUACCGAGGAGUGCAAUCGCGGGAGACACACGGCGGGUGCUAACGUCCGUCGUGGAAAGGGAAACAACCCAGACCGCCAGCUAAGGUCCCAAAUACCAGUUAAGUGGGAAACGAUGUGGGAAGGCCCAGACAGCUAGGAGGUUGGCUUAGAAGCAGCCAUCCUUUAAAGAAAGCGUAAUAGCUCACUAGUCGAGUCGGCCUGCGCGGAAGAUAUACCGGGGCUCAAACUGGUAACCGAAGCUGCGGAUGCUCUUAGGAGCAUGGUAGAGGAGCGUUCUGUAAGCCGUUGAAGGUGAACCGGGAGGUUUGCUGGAGGUAUCAGAAGUGCGAAUGCUGACAUGAGUAACGACAAGGGGGGUGAAAAACC